rnacentral:rRNA from 1 species
GCGUCCGUAGCCUGCCGUGUAAGUUUCCCGUUAAAUCCAGCGUCUUAAGCGUUGGACCGCGGGAAAUACUGUACGGCUAGAGAGUGGGAGAGGUCAGCGGUAUUCUGGGGGUAGGGGCGAAAUCCUUUGAUCCCCGGAGGACCACCAGUGGCGAAGGCUGCUGUCUAGAACACGUCUGACGGUCAGGGACGAAAGCUGGGGUAGCGAACCGGAUUAGAUACCCGGGUAGUCCCAGCCGUAAACGAUGCAUGCUAGGUGUUGGGUUGGCCACGAGCCACCCCAGUGCCGCAGGGAAGCCGUUAAGCAUGCCGCCUGGGAAGUACGAUCGCAAGGUUGAAACUUAAAGGAAUUGGCGGGGGAGCACCACCAGGCGUGAAGCCUGCGGUUUAAUUGGAGUCAACGCCGGGAACCUUACCGGGAGCGACAGCAGAGUGAAGGUCAGAUUGAAGAUCUUACCAGACGAGCUGAGAGGAGGUACAUGGCCGUCGCCAGUUCGUGCCGUGAGGUGUUAUGUUAAGUCAUAUAACGAACGAGACCCGUGCCGCAUGUUGCCACCAGAAUCUA